rnacentral:rRNA from 2 species
UCAGUUAUGGUUCCUUAGAUUGUUUCAUGCUACUUGGAUAACUGUGGCAAUUCUAGAGCUAAUACAUGCGUUGAACUCUGGCGUCUUCGGACAGAAGAGUGCUUUUAUUAGACCAAGAUCAUACGGGUGUCAAAACCCGUGGUGUGUGGUGACUCUGGAUAACUUUCGCUGAUCGCACGGCUACGGCCGGCGACGCUUCUUUCAAGUGUCUGCCUUAUCAACUGUCGAUGGUAGGUUAUGCGCCUACCAUGGUUGUCACGGGUAACGGAGAAUCAGGGUUCGGUUCCGGAGAGGGAGCCUGAGAAAUGGCUACCACAUCCAAGGAAGGCAGCAGGCGCGCAAAUUACCCACUCCCAGCACGGGGAGGUAGUGACGAAAAAUAACAAUACGGGACUCUUUUGAGGCCCCGUAAUUGAAAUGAGUACACUCUAAAUCCUUUAACGAGGAUCAAUUGGAGGGCAAGUCUGGUGCCAGCAGCCGCGGUAAUUCCAGCUCCAAUAGCGUAUGCUAAAGUUGCUGCGGUUAAAAAGCUCGUAGUUGGAUCUCAGUUGCAGGCGGGAAGGGCAUCUAAACGAUGCGGCGUCCCGCGCUGGACAUCAUGCCUACUGUCCCUUGGUCCCCUUCAUUGGGUGCCUCGGGGUGGUCGGUGCAUUUACUUUGAAAAAAUUAGAGUGCUCAACGCAGGCGCAUUGCCUGAAUAACCACGCAUGGAAUAAUAGAAGAAGACCUUGUUUCUGUUCUGUUGGUCUUUGGAAAACGAGGUAAUGAUUAAGAGGGACAGACGGGGGCAUUCGUAUUGC